rnacentral:rRNA from 1 species
GUGUCAGCAGCCGCGGUAAUACGUAGGUGGCAAGCGUUGUCCGGAUUUACUGGGCGUAAAGGGCGUGCAGGCGGUUUGUUAAGUGCAGGGUGAAAGCUCCCGGCUCAACUGGGAGAGGUCCUUGCAUACUGGCGAACUCGAGGGAGGCAGAGGAAAGUGGAAUUCCCGGUGUAGUGGUGAUAUGCGUAGAUAUCGGGAGGAACACCUGUGGCGAAGGCGGCUUUCUGGGCCUUACCUGACGCUGAGACGCGAAAGCGUGGGGAGCGAACCGGAUUAGAUACCCGGGUAGUCCACGCCGUAAACUAUGGACACUAGGUGUGGGGGGUAUCGACCCCCUCCGUGCCGAAGCUAACGCAAUAAGUGUCCCGCCUGGGGAGUACGGCCGCAAGGCUAAA